rnacentral:pre_miRNA from 1 species
GUUGUCGUAUUUACUUCAAUCCAUGUGUGUUGGUGUGGAUUGGGGUGGAAUUUAAUUCAAGUUCCACUCCAAUCCACCUCAACACAUGUGGAUUGAUAUGAAUACGACU